AUGCAUGAUCCUAAAAUGAAUGCAAAAAUUAAAUAAAAACUAUAUGCAAUCUAUACGGUAUCUAUAUGCAAGUGUGUGCAUAUAUUUAUAAGGUAUAAGUGUAGGUGCAUGAACUAACUAAGUAUAAGUGAAAUGAAAUGCAAUUGAAUUAAUGCAAAUGCUUUAAAAAGAUAAAAAAUUUUGCAAAAAUUUUACCUUCCCCCCAAACUCAAAUUAGACAAUGUCCUCAUUGGCUUAAAUAAAGUGGCAAAAAUGUAAAUCAAAGGAAAUAAAUGCUCAAAAAUUGGUAAAGGUGAGAAUUUAAUAUUCUCAAUGUGCAAUAAAGGAGUAAAGUGUAGCUCAAAAAGAUAAAAAAAGAAAAUGAAGCACAAAUAAAAAUUUUCAAAUGAAUUCUCACAAUUAACUCAACAUGCCCAAUGUGGAAUGACUUGAAAAGUAACAUGAGACAUGUUGAAAUUGCAAGUAAAAUGACACAGGGCAUGUUAAAAAGGAACAUGCCCCAUUUAGGCUAGAAAAUACCUCAAAAAUGACAUAAAUGAACCUGUAAAGUGUAGUAUAAUAGGGAAAGCUACAAAAUUGGACAAGAGAACUCAAAACCACAAAAGGCUAAUCAAGAAUAACUACAAACUGCAUUAAACCUCACAACCACAAAAAUGCAAGUAUUUAAACAAUUAAAUUCUAGCCACGAAAAAUAAGCAAACUAUAGAAAAUGAUAUCAAACCAAACUGCAACAACAUAAAGUACCAUCCAAAGGACAAUAUUUCAACAAUAUCCAAGAAACAACGUAAAGACAAAAUUCAUAAGUAUAAAAAAAAAGCCCAAAAUACAGUAAGAACUGAAAAUUUAUUGCAAUAUAAAGGCUUAAAACAGAACCCUAAAGUUUAAAACAACUAAGGAAGUUCCUAACAGUAAAGCCUAAAUAAAAACUAGUCUUCAUUGGUCUUGUUGGGUGCUGCUUGGUCUGCUAGCUGGUUGUCCUUAGCAGCAACUGCUGGUACAUCUUUAGAAGCUUCUAAUGCAGUUUCUAAGUUGUCAAAGAGUUGCUUUAGCUCUCCAAACUGGUUCCCCAUCCAUGUAACAAUGUUGUUAUAAACUUUUCCAGCCUUUCCAUUUGAACUGCAAGCAAUUUCAUCUCUAAUUUCUGCUUCUCUUUUAAUUCCUUCAAUUUCUUCUUCAUUUUUCUUUCAUACUUCUUCUGCCUUGUAUCAAAAUUGUCCAACUUUGCUUCCAUAAAUUUCAAAAUUGUCAAUAACUCAUCAAAAUUCUAUUGUGAAACUGCAAGUUUAGUUGGCUAUAAUUUCUCAUCUAGCUUUGCAAUUUCGGCUUCAAUGGACUUAAAAGCAAACAAGAGUGUAGCGAUAGAAGUGGGCUGCUGAGAUGGACUAGCAGAUUGAGGUUCAGUUUGUGUGUCAAAAGGCUGAAAAGGAUCAUCCUCUGGCCUAGGGUCGCUGGUUUGGUCCAUUAGCACAAAAAUAGACCAUUUCUUCUUUAUAAUACUCAUGCUAAAUAGAAUAGCCCUGUCUAGGUAAGCUUUUCCUAAAAUAGGCUUCAAUUUAUGCUCUGCUAGUGAAAAAUCAAAAGCCUUAGCUAUCGCAGUGAUCAAACCCCCAAAGACUAUACUACCAAUCCUCAUUUUAGAAAUAGAUUGCUCAAAAUGUGAGCAAAGCAAAAAAAAAAACUCCAUUUACUUUCUUUCUAUUGUUCAUACACCAUAACAAAAACAAAUCAUUAAGACCUAUAACACUGUUACUAUGGCCUUUUCCUAACGCAGUGUAAGAAAGGAAUCUGUGGAGCAAUCUCAAAAUAGGGUCUAAGAUCUUAGAGGACUUUGAAGCGCUAGGGUUGUAAUAGCCUCCAUAAAGAGCUAUAGAUUUCCAGAACCCAAAUUUAUCAUAGAAGGCCCUUUCCCACUCUACCUGACAAUAUCCCUCAUCAGGGAAACCAAAGAUAGCAUUAACAGAACCCAUGCUCAACUCUCUUUCUAUACCCAAACACCUAAAUUGGAUAUUGUCAAUAGGUUUCACAUCAUGAGACUAAAAAUUCACCUUCAAAGAACUAAGAAACUGCAAAGUUAGCUCAGUAUACACAAUUUCCUUAAUACUAGCAAAUUCAGUCCACCCUAUUACAUCUAAAUAUGCAAAAACAACAUCAUAUAAACCUAUCUCCUUUAACAGUGCAUCAUCCAAAUAUUUAAUAGGUGCUAGGCUCUUAGACAUUAAUUUCUUAUAAUUAUGCUUCAUUUGCAUAUUCCUAAAGCCCCAAGUUAAAGAAGAAGGUACCUCCUCUAAAAUAUCAUUACCAAAAGAAGCAACAGGUACUGCUUUUGAUGCAGAAACCUUGGACUUGGACUUAGCAGUAGCGGGUUGAGGACUAGGUUCCUUAGAAGAUGCAACCGAUGCUGAUUUUGACACUGGGAUUCGAGGAGUACUCAAUGGGGUUGAGACAGAGGAGCGAGUUCUCUUGCUAAUGGGUUCAAGAAUGAAAACCCUAGGUUUCUUGGUUGUCAAAGCAGAGGCAGAAAUGGGUUCUUUGCGCUUGCUAGGAGAAGAAGGCUUUUUGAGUUUGAAAUUAGGGUUCACUUUCUUCUUAGCAACUGUCUUGAAAUGGGUUUUUAGGGCAGAUUGUACUGUAGGUGGAGAGGGUUGAGGGAUUUA
rnacentral:misc_RNA from 1 species